CGUGUUCAGUCAUGCCGUCCUUGCGCGGCGUGAUUGUCGGUGAGUCAGGUUAAAUUCUUAAAUAGGUCGCGCCUGCGCCUAAUUCAGUCUAUAAAAGCCUGCACAUUCAGUUUUGCUAGCUACAAUGCAGUGCGGCUGGCGUGAGCUCUCCCCACGAUGCGCUUCGAGCGUGUCGAUUUCGCCGUUCUUUAUGUUGGCGUUAACGACCUUGAAAGCAACAUGGAUCCACAAGAAAUGUGCGACAACAUCAAGGCCUUGAUUGUUCAACGAGACGGCCCCCGUCGUGCUGGUUUUCAAGGUGCUCCCUCGCUGCCUAGAAGAUGCUGAUGCGGAAUAGAAAAUGCAAAAACGUCGCUUGCUCAACCGCAAAUUGACGGCUACGCUGAAGCGCAUGCCGUGUCUGCGGAAUUUGAACCCCGAGCUUUCCAGAGUUCCUUGGAAAAUCCUCCCAUGCACCUGCCAUGUACAUUGCCCUCCUCCUCGAUGUGGCGUGCAAGAUGGCAGCAGCAGCUGUGGGAACAGUAGAAGAGGCGAAGAAAGGUCCACUUUAUAA